UGCUAGUGUCACCUUGUCAAUAGACGGUCACAAAUGUAGCCUACGUAUGAGUCGGAAUAUGUCUCCUGUAUAAACAUAGGGGAUUAGCGGACCGAAAGAUUAUUGCCAGAACAGGAGAGUGUCGAUGAGCGAACUGGGUAAAGCCCCUCUAUCCGUUCUUAUCGCGACGAAGGAUGAGGAAAGGAACAUCGCCGAGUGUAUCAAGCACCUGGCGUGGGUAGAUGAAAUUAUCAUCUACGACUCUUAUAGUAAUGAUAAGACCCUACAGAUCGCUCGGGAGAUGGGGAUCAAAACAAUCGUCCAGAGGGAAUUUGAUGAUUUUGCUACGCACUGGAAUUGGGGCCUCGAGC
rnacentral:misc_RNA from 1 species